rnacentral:pre_miRNA from 1 species
UCCUGACGACAUCUUUACCUGACAGUAUUAGAAGAUUCGAGCGCAAUCUAAUGCUGCCCGGUAAGAUGUGAACAGA